AUGCUCACUUCAGCAGCACAUGUACUAAAAUUGGAAUGAUGCAGAGAUUAACUUGGCUCCUGUGCCAAAAUGACAUGUAAAUUUGUGAAGUGUUCCAUAUUUUU